AGCCUCUCAAUAUUGGCAUGGGGACAAGUAGGUUUUGCAGGGGGAUAUUUUAUCCAGCUUGCAACAGAAUUGUGACACAUUAAGCUCUUUAAAGAGUAGAUUAAUGAGGUCACUGUGUAUUUAGGUCAGCAGGGCAGCAGGGUCUUGAUUCAUUAUGUCUCUGAAUUCUACAAGAUACUAACAGAUGAGGAAAUGUGGCUUCAAAAGGGUGGAUUGAGGUCACAGUCAGAUGACAUGGCAUCUAGGGUACAUCUAGGGGGCGUCCUGUAUUCAGUGUCAAAACUUACCAGGGUCACUCAUCUCCUGAAUCACCUGACAGCUAGGUGCCGAGGGCUUCCUCAGAGCCAGGGGUCGUGAUGUGCCCUGAAGGUUCCCAGAUGAGAGUUCCAGUUUUGAAAUCAUCACAGUAGAAAGCAGGACACAGCUACACCAAGCAGUGACUGACACAGUCAAGCCAGCAUGGAGUGUGGAGGAGCCCCAGCAGAGAGUACUUUGCUUGAAAGGCUGGCCAGGAAAUGGCCUGAAAGAUGACAUACUUACCAGGAAGUCAGAAGGGGGACUCGAAGGGGAAAUAGAUAGGAUUCUCAAAGGAUAGGGUGACUGGAAGCUUGAGGAAAUGCUUAGAUGAGGCUGGAAAUAGUUUUGAAAACGAAAGCAAAACUGAAGCAACUCCUCCCCCCCUCCCAAAAAAAAAAACAAAUAAUGAACAACCCUGUCCGGUGACUGUCAUGUAUCAGGCCCUGUCUCAAGAGUCAGAGUGAGUCGUGAAUGAGGGAAAACCAGAGUCUCCUUCCUAGUGCUAACUCCCAAAUCCUAAGGACCCAGGAGAGGCCUGAAUGCUCAGCUGAGAUGCCUCGCCAUUGUUAAGGAACCAUGGGAAGAGUUGGAGAGACUGUGGCUCUCAACUCCAUGCCUGCUCCUUCCUUGGAUCCCGUUCCUGCCAGGGAAGUGGUAGCAGCAGCUGAAGGUUUGGCUCCUCAGUGAUCCCAGCAAAGGACCAGACUGCCAAGAAGGGAUCUUCCCCUUUCCCUGACAAGGAAAAUGGAAGAGUUCCCACUUUUCCAUCUUCCAGGACAGGCACUUAAGAUGUGGCAUUUGGCUUCACCCGCCCCUGGGGGAGCUGGGAGCUACCAGGCUGCCAUCCUCCGGGGCCUUCUGAAAACACUCACUUCUUAGCUUCUGUUAGUCUUUAAGCUGGCAGGCAUUCCUGGACUCACAGUCCACGCAUGACUUUUCUUAUUUUUAUGGCUGUUAGUACCUGGCAAGAGUGACUUAGGGAAGGUUUAGAAUUUGGAGGAAUUGCCCACGAUGUUUGCAGGCAUUUUUGCAGGAGUGGAGGUGACUGCCCACAGGACUUUCCUAUGGGGAAGCAGAGUCAAUGGGAAGUGGUGUAGAUUGCAAGGCCCCUCCAGUGACCCACCUGUGCCAGCAAGGCUCUACAACUUCCCAAGGCAGUGCUGCAAGCUGAGAACCAAGUGUUCGAAAACAAAUGGGUGGUGGUUGUUUGAAUGAGAACUGUCCUCUACAGUCUUAGACCUUUGAACACAUGGUCCCCACCUGAAUGUUUGGGGAGGUUUAGGCAGUGCAGCCUUGUAAGAAGUAUGUCGCUGGGGGCAGGCAUUGAGGUUGUUUUAUCUGAUGUUACUCUGUCUGCUGCACAUCUUCCUGCUUUGCUAUCCUGUCACUCUGCCAACACGGGCUCUGAAACUGUAAGUCAAAAUAAACUCUUAAGUUGCCUUUGG
rnacentral:lncRNA from 1 species